UACGGAGGGUGCAAACGUUGCUCGGAAUCAUUGGGCGUAAAGCGCACGUAGGCGGUCCAGCAAGUCGGGUGUGAAAGCCCUCGGCUUAACCGAGGAAGUGCAUUCGAAACUACUGGACUUGAGUACUGAAGAGGAUCGCGGAAUUCCCGGUGUAGAGGUGAAAUUCGUAGAUAUCGGGAGGAACACCAGUGGCGAAGGCGGCCUUCUGGACCAAUACUGACGCUCAUGCACGAAAGCGUGGGGAGCAAACAGG
rnacentral:rRNA from 1 species